AAUGUGUUCAUUCUCAGCUAUUUUGUUUAUCUUCAUAGGUUCCCUUCCUGCAGAAUCAGCCAGCUUUAUUGACAGAAAUACUGAAGAUGUAUUGUGUCCGGCACAGCAUAACAUCGAGCAAGUCAAGGGCACUGGCAGCUCAUGGUCUACAUCCACCUCACUUUCAGCAGAAAAUUUGGACCAUAUGAACGGCAUCACCUGUGCCGGGAUGGUUUCUGUGACCCUGAAAUUCCCAUCUCCUAUACGAUCUAAAGCUAAUCUUGGCAGCCAGCUAAUUCUCGCUAGCCAGCAGCGCCCUUUACUUCAGCACGGGAGUGUUCAUCGAGCACCGCACAAUUUAACUGCCGAUACGGAUUAGCGCCGACUAUUUACCUAUUGGAUUGGUUAGAACUGGCAAUGGGAGUAAUAGUCUUCUUUUUCCAAUGACUGGUACAAGCGGCGCAUCCCCUGCCAGGUUGAAAAACAUAUCCGUGAGCUGUUAAAUACAUCUCUUUCAAGAGACAUUUGAAGGCAGUCAGUGAGCAAACAGAAGCCUGCUCAAUGUUGCUGGAGAAAUGGCCUGGAGAAAUGGCCUCAUUCGUUAACUGAUGUCGUGGGGUGGCAUGAAAACGCAGGAUGGAAGAGGUCAUGGAAAGAAGCCGAGGCAUGACCCCAAGUUUCAAGGUCAGAGUACCUAAGGAGAAGCCAGACAACCAUUGGUGAAGGUUCAGCCUCAGUUGAAUGAAACCCCCCCGGCUGGUAGGGGUCAUGGAGAGAAGUUGAGGAGUGGUACCUUCUGUCAGGGUCAGCGUCCCUAAAGAGAGGCCAGGAGGUCAUCACGUAAGGCGAAGCCUCAGUCGCAGCAGACUCCAGUAUACUAGAGAAGCCAGUGACCUCUGAGGACAGCAGCAGAUGUGGAGUGUAGCAGCCCUGAGUCUAGAGGACAACCUGUGUGUGCUGUGGGAUUGGACAGCUAGAGAAUUGGGGCCACUCAAGCCCCUCUGGAGUACAGAAUGACUGAGUCCUAGACAUCCGACCUUGAAUUAUUUAGAUUUUUUUUUUUUUUUGGUUUUGCUUUGAUCUGACUGUAACUGCACCGUGGUUAUUCUCUUUUGAAAUAAGAAAAUAUGUCAUUUGUUUUGGGUUUUAGAGGAGCCCGCAUUUAAGAGAUACUGGAUAUUUUCAAGAGACUGUGAGACUUUUAAAAGUAGACUGUGCUUUAUAUUAUGUUACGAUAUUAUGUUAGAGAUAAUAUCCCGAAAGAAAGGUUAUUUAAUAGUGUUGUGUUUGUGUGUCAAGGUGACAAGGGGUCAGUUGUGCUUGUUUUUUUGUCAUCGUGACACAGACUAGAGUCCCCUGGAAAGUGGAAAUCUCAGCUGAGGAAUUGCCUCCAUCCGACUCGUCUACGCGGCCUUUUCUUGGUUGCCGACUGACGCGGGACGAGGACCAAGUCCUCGGUAGACAGCACCAUCCCUGGGCGGACGGGCCUGGAGUUUCUAAGUCAGAGAGCUGAGCAAGCCAAGGGAAGUAAGCCAUAAACCACGGUCCUCCAUGGUUUCCGCUACAGUUUCUGACUGUGGGUACCUGUCUUGAAUUCCCCGCCCACCUUGGUUUCUCUUGAUGAUGGACUGAGGGCGACAAGAGGAAGUAACCCUUUCCUACCAAACUUGGUUUUCUAAGGGUUUGACCACAGCAACAGAGGGCAAAGUAGGGCAGAUGGGGUUCACGCUGCUCUUGUGAAGGGGUUCACGCUGCUCUUGUGAAGGGGUUCUUGCUGGUUCCCUGGAGCAGGUGACAUGAACAGGAAUGGAUAAGCUCCUGUGAGAACAGGUUUAGAUUGCAGAAUUAGUGUGAUUUCUCCCUUCUCUGUUGUUUGCUCUGACCUCAUGUGGCCUUUCUGUCUCCGUCUUUUGUAUGUGAUCCCACGGCGUCGUGCCAUUAGUAAGCUGUAACCAAGUAGAAGACCCUUACUACAGAACAAGUUGUUAUUUUAUUUUUUUUCAAGACAGUAUUUCCUUGUGCAGCCUUGGAUGUCCUGGAAAUUAGCUCUGUAGACCAGGCUGGUCUCGAACUCACAGAAAUCUGCUUGCCUCUAGGUGUGGGCCACCACUGUCUGUCUCAAAGACCAAGUUUUAUGUAGCCAUUCCCUCUGAGAUUGAAAUCUCCUAUCUCGAAGGGAAGCGCUUUAAACUCAGACCAUAAACAACUUCAUGGCUCCAGGAAAUCCCUGAAACUGAUCAGAUUCCUCAGACUCUUCUCUCCCCAAGCAUAAAGAAGCUGUAAGGUCUGCUGAUAGGUGUAGGGUGUUUACCCACCAACCCCACAGCUCCCCAGAGUUUUCUUGAGUGCGAGCAGCAGGAAAUAUUAGAAGGAUUGAGAUUGUGGAGAUAAACAGAUAGAAAAUAAAGGAUAGCCUUGAGAGGGUCCUGACUGUCUCUGCCCCAGGGCAUUUAUAGAGACACCAAAGGGUGGAGCAAAAGACCUCCCCCCCUUCCCAGUACAGCCAAGUGCAGACCAUCUCAGACACCUGCACUCAGGCCUGUGACCCUAAUCAUUCUCUAUGCAGACCUGCUGGGUUAAGCCACGAGGAACCUGAAAACCGGCUCCCACAGAUAGGUGCUUAGAGACAAGCUGGAAGAAGCAGAGACCAGCCAAGAUGUCUGGAAGAGACUCAGACCAACUGAGUUACCUGGAAAGACCACCCUCCAAACUGUGGAGCUGCUUACAGGUUGCGUAAUGCACACUUCCAGCUUUUGUGAGCUGUCACGCAUGCUGGGAUGGGCUUUGGCGAUGCAAGUGCCUUUGAGUUAUUUUCACACCUACAGUAGCCCCUUACCCCUAUUCCUGUAAGUAACCCCAAUAAAACUCAUUGGUUCACCGGUGUGGACUUCAGGGGUAUACAGGCUUUGGUCUUUUGUUGGUUGCCUAUCUGGGUUGAGGGGUGUUUGCUAGUUUCCCUACAGGAACAGCGUCAGACAACAGCAGAACGCCUGACCUUAGCCCCUCAGCCUCUAAAACUAUGAGCUAGAGAAACGUCUCGUCUUUAUCGAUCACCCAGCCUGACGUGUGUUGUCCUAGCAAACACAGGGUAGGCGGUCUUCACACGGCUAAUGUCUUGCGGUCACAAAUAAGUUUAUUUCCGGUUCUCAGGAAUAACUUUCUUCUCCUGCUAGAUCAGAGGACAAGUGAGUAGAAAUUAUUUUAGGAAAAAUUUCAGGUUUCUUCAAGCCAAUAAAAGAACGGGAUAUUUUUAUUUUACAGGUAAUUCAUAAAUUAAUUGUGAGACAUGUAGUUACUGACCAAGAGACUUGGUCACUAUCUGUUGGGCAGUACC